rnacentral:rRNA from 1 species
UACAGAGGGUGCGAGCGUUGUCCGGAAUCACUGGGCGUAAAGCGCGCGCAGGCGGUCAGAUUAGUCUGUCGUGACAGUCGUCGGCUCAACUGACGAAGUACGAUGGGAAACUGUCUGACUUGAGGGCUUCAGAGGGACACGGAAUUCCGGGUGGAGUGGUGAAAUGCGUAGAUAUCGGGAGGAACACCUGUGGCGAAAGGCGGCUCACUGGACCGCAACUGACGCUGAGGCGCGAAAGCUAGGGGAGCAAACAGG